GCGUGGGUUUCCUCCAGGUGCUCUGACAUGUUCUCCCUGUGUCAGCGUGGGUUUCCUCCAGGUGCUCUGACAUGUUCUCCCCCUGUCAGCGUGGGUUUCCUCCAGGUGCUCUGACAUGUUCUCCCUGUGUCAGCGUGGGUUUCCUCCAGGUGCUCUGACAUGUUCUCCCAGUGUCAGCGUGGGUUUCCUCCAGGUGCUCUGACAUGUUCUCCCGGUGUCAGCGUGGGUUUCCUCCAGGUGCUCUGACAUGUUCUCCCUGUGUCAGUGUGGGUUUCCUCCAGGUGCUCUGACAUGUUCUCCCUGUGUCAGCGUGGGUUUCCUCCAGGUGCUCUGACAUGUUCUCCCUGUGUCAGCGUGGGUUUCCUCCAGGUGCUCUGACAUGUUCUUCCCGUGUCAGCGUGGGUUUCCUCCAGGUGCUCCGACAUGUUCUUCCCGUGUCAGCGUGGGUUUCCUCCAGGUGCUCUGACAUGUUCUCCCUGUGUCAGCGUGGGUUUCCUCCAGGUGCUCUGACAUGUUCUCCCUGUGUC